AGGUUCACGAUCAGUGCAUAUGCAGUUAAACGUGCUUGGGCGAGAGUUAGUACUAAGGAUGGUGACCUCCUGGGAAGUCCUCGUGUUGCACCCC
rnacentral:sRNA from 1 species